rnacentral:rRNA from 1 species
AUGAACGCUAGCUACAGGCUUAACACAUGCAAGUCGAGGGGCAGCAUUUUAGUUUGCUUGCAAACUAAAGAUGGCGACCGGCGCACGGGUGAGUAACACGUAUCCAACCUGCCGAUAACUCGGGGAUAGCCUUUCGAAAGAAAGAUUAAUAUCCGAUAGUAUAUUAAAACCGCAUGGUUUUACUAUUAAAGAAUUUCGGUUAUCGAUGGGGAUGCGUUCCAUUAGUUUGUUGGCGGGGUAACGGCCCACCAAGACUACGAUGGAUAGGGGUUCUGAGAGGAAGGUCCCCCACAUUGGAACUGAGACACGGUCCAAACUCCUACGGGAGGCAGCAGUGAGGAAUAUUGGUCAAUGGACGAGAGUCUGAACCAGCCAAGUAGCGUGAAGGAUGACUGCCCUAUGGGUUGUAAACUUCUUUUAUAUGGGAAUAAAGUAUUCCACGUGUGGGAUUUUGUAUGUACCAUAUGAAUAAGGAUCGGCUAACUCCGUGCCAGCAGCCGCGGUAAUACGGAGGAUCCGAGCGUUAUCCGGAUUUAUUGGGUUUAAAGGGAGCGUAGGUGGAUUGUUAAGUCAGUUGUGAAAGUUUGCGGCUCAACCGUAAAAUUGCAGUUGAAACUGGCAGUCUUGAGUACAGUAGAGGUGGGCGGAAUUCGUGGUGUAGCGGUGAAAUGCUUAGAUAUCACGAAGAACUCCGAUUGCGAAGGCAGCUCACUAGACUGCAACUGACACUGAUGCUCGAAAGUGUGGGUAUCAAACAGGAUUAGAUACCCUGGUAGUCCACACAGUAAACGAUGAAUACUCGCUGUUUGCGAUAUACAGUAAGCGGCCAAGCGAAAGCAUUAAGUAUUCCACCUGGGGAGUACGCCGGCAACGGUGAAACUCAAAGGAAUUGACGGGGGCCCGCACAAGCGGAGGAACAUGUGGUUUAAUUCGAUGAUACGCGAGGAACCUUACCCGGGCUUAAAUUGCAUUUGAAUAAUCUGGAAACAGGUUAGCCGCAAGGCAAAUGUGAAGGUGCUGCAUGGUUGACGUCAGCUCGUGCCGUGAGGUGUCGGCUUAAGUGCCAUAACGAGCGCAACCCUUAUCUUUAGUUACUAACAGGUCAUGCUGAGGACUCUAGAGAGACUGCCGUCGUAAGAUGUGAGGAAGGUGGGGAUGACGUCAAAUCAGCACGGCCCUUACGUCCGGGGCUACACACGUGUUACAAUGGGGGGUACAGAAGGCAGCUACCUGGCGACAGGAUGCUAAUCCCAAAAACCUCUCUCAGUUCGGAUCGAAGUCUGCAACCCGACUUCGUGAAGCUGGAUUCGCUAGUAAUCGCGCAUCAGCCAUGGCGCGGUGAAUACGUUCCCGGGCCUUGUACACACCGCCCGUCAAGCCAUGAAAGCCGGGGGUACCUGAAGUACGUAACCGCAAGGAGCGUCCUAGGGUAAAACUGGUAAUUGGGGCU